AAAAGGUUUUAGGUUUUUGACUUUUUUCAAUUUUCACGGAUUGCUACUGCUGCUGCUGCUUCUUCUUCACAGUACACACUCCUCUUUUUGUAUUUCCAACACACUUUUCUCACUUAAAACUAUGUGUUUGCUUAUUUAAUAAUUUUGUACAAAAAACAAUUAUUGCUUUUGUCGGCCGUUUAAAACAUUUAACAUCUUGAUUUUCUUCAAUUGUGAUUUUUUCACUAUAUAUGUAAAACUGAAACACGAAAGCACUGAAGUCAAAGUAGCACCAUGCUCUUACGCCGGUGAGUAUAAGCCGGCUUGGUGAAUCCGCCAGACUAUGGAUUGGGGCCAACUGCGAUGACUGUUUGAUUGAUAUGACGGCAUAAAAUUGACCGCGAAAAAGUGAAUUCCAUUCAUUUUAGCCUUAUUAUAGUUACUCAAAAAAAUAUAACAAUAAGUUGGACAUUUUCCCAGAA
rnacentral:sRNA from 1 species